GAAACUGAAUGUCGCCAUCUUACACUUACACAGCUACUUGAGGGCUCAAAAUGGCGUUAGUUCCCCGUCCUUUGUGGGGAGGCCCAGCACUUGUUGUGAGGUCUAAUGGCUCAUCUGUUCCAUCCUCCCCAGGGGUUUUGUAGACAAAGUUCUAGAUUGAAAUGCAGACAGACUACCCCUACAACACGCUUUGUAAACUCAAUUUUCAAGAGGAGGAGUCUUAACUUUUCUUUCCAAGAAUCCAAAUGAGCAAAGAAAUAGUUUGUGGAAAUAAAGCUUAGUGACUAUUUGGAUAAAGCAAUAUAAAAGUGUUGACUAAUAUGCUGAUUUUCUAUUAGUCACAGUGGUAAAUGGAAGACUUCAAUUCGUGCGCAAAUCUAGGGAAUGUAGCACAAUUCUUUUUCUUAAGGACUUUAAAUAGAUUAUUACCUUCUCCAUUUUAUUGAGCUAAUUCUUUAGCUAUUCAUUGUUCAAAUAGUUCCUGCAUCGAGUGGCUUAGGUUUUACCUAACCACAUUUGAGGGCACUUCUUCCCUUUAAUGAGGCUACUUCAGUUAAUUACUUUUCUCUUCCUUCUUUUUAUAUAUAUAAUAAUCAAAGCCUAAGAGGGUUCACCCUGACUAAGAGGUUGGAUUUUAUGACUCCUUUUAAAAAGAGCCUGCUUCAUUUACUACUCUCCAGAACAUUUUGAAUUGUUCAACCACCAAGAGGCAGUGAAUCUAUUUUCCCUGGGAAGAUAUUUCAGUUCUACAAGAAAGAGAAAGCCCCAGAGACCGACCUGAGGAGUAGAUUUCUUGUGGGCUGGAUUCUUCCCCGAGGACCAGACCUGCCAGCCCAGAAUGCUGCGGGGCAGUUUGGUCUCCAGGUGUUGUUCCUCGUGGUGGGAGCUUAAAGGGGCAGUGUACACAGCUCCCUGGCUGCUGAGGUCCACAGCAUUGCUCUACCAUGCACUAUCCACCAUGAUGUGCAGCUUCAUGCAGGCCCAAGAGAUGGGACCAAGAAACCAGGGACUGAAACCUGAACAAAAAUAAACCUUUCUUCUUUUCAGUUGAUUAUCAA